rnacentral:rRNA from 1 species
GAUGAACGCUGGCGGCGUGCCUAAUACAUGCAAGUCGAGCGAACAGAUGAGGAGCUUGCUCCUCUGACGUUAGCGGCGGACGGGUGAGUAACACGUGGAUAACCUACCUAUAAGACUGGGAUAACUUCGGGAAACCGGAGCUAAUACCGGAUAAUAUAUUGAACCGCAUGGUUCAAUAGUGAAAGACGGUUUUGCUGUCACUUAUAGAUGGAUCCGCGCCGCCUUAGCUAGUUGGUAAGGUAACGGCUUACCAAGGCGACGAUGCGUAGCCGACCUGAGAGGGGGAUCGGCCACACGGGAACUGAGACACGGACAAGACGCCUACGGGAGGCAGCAGUAGGGUAUGUGACGCAGUGGGCGGAAGCCUGACGGAGCAACGCCGCGUGAGUGAUGAAGGUCUUCGGAGCGUAAAACUCUGUUAUUAGGGAAGAACAAAUGUGUAAGUAACUAUGCACGUCUUGACGGUACCUGAUCAGAAAGCCACGGCUAACUACGUG